rnacentral:rRNA from 1 species
CGUCUAGGCGGCACGUCAAGUCUUGCGUGAAAGCUCCUGGCUCAACUAGGAGAGUGCGUGGGAAACUGGCGAGCUAGAGACGUGGAGGGGUGCACGGAAUUCCCGGUGGAGUGGUGGAAUGCGUUGAGAUCGGGAGGAACACCAGAAGCGAAGGCGGUGCACUGGCCACGGACUGACGCUGAAGCGCGACAGCGUGGGGAGCGAACGGGAUUAGAUACCCCGGUAGUCCACGCCGUAAACGAUGACGACUAGGUGUGUGUAACCGAAGGGUUAUGCGUACCGCAGCAAACGCGAUAAGUCGUCCGCCUGGGGAGUACGGCCGCAAGGCUAAA